rnacentral:tRNA from 1 species
GCGGGCGUGGCGGAAUUGGCAGACGCUGUGGACUUAGGAUCCACUGGGGAUAUUCCCCGUGAGGGUUCAAGUCCCUCCGCCCGCACCA